rnacentral:rRNA from 1 species
AUUGAACGCUGGCGGCAGGCCUAACACAUGCAAGUCGAACGGUAACAGGAAGAAGCUUGCUUCUUUGCUGACGAGUGGCGGACGGGUGAGUAAUGUCUGGGAAACUGCCUGAUGGAGGGGGAUAACUACUGGAAACGGUAGCUAAUACCGCAUAACGUCGCAAGACCAAAGAGGGGGACCUUCGGGCCUCUUGCCAUCGGAUGUGCCCAGAUGGGAUUAGCUAGAGGUGGGGUAACGGCUCACCUAGGCGACGAUCCCUAGCUGGUCUGAGAGGAUGACCAGCCACACUGGAACUGAGACACGGUCCAGACUCCUACGGGAGGCAGCAGUGGGGAAUAUUGCACAAUGGGCGCAAGCCUGAUGCAGCCAUGCCGCGUGUAUGAAGAAGGCCUUCGGGUUGUAAAGUACUUUCAGCGGGGAGGAAGGGAGUAAAGUUAAUACCUUUGCUCAUUGACGUUACCCGCAGAAGAAGCACCGGCUAACUCCGUG